rnacentral:misc_RNA from 1 species
GCUAAAGUUGUCUUUCCCAGGCCACCCAUCCCGACAAUCGAGAUGAUCUCUAACUCCUCUGACCCAUUGGUAAGUCGACUACUUAUUUUCCUAGCCUCGUCAUCAAAGCCCACCACAUUUUCUUCUUCCACCAUCGGAACUCUCUUUUGUGGUGGACUUCUAUGAGAAGACUCUCCACCGUGUAAGCUUUGAAUCCCAAACAUCUUCUUGUCAUAAAUCUCCUUCACCUUCA